GACUGCAUAACGCAGUGGAUUAGCGCGUCUAACUUCGAAUCAGAAGGUUAUGGGUUUGACUCCCAUUGUAGUCA